UCAAUUAUCAAACCAUGACAUGGCAAAGAUAAAAAGUAAAAAGACCACCGAACCCUAGCUCCGCCGCCUGAGUUCCGAUAAUGCGGCCACGCACCAGGGCGGCGCGGCCGCCGCCGGAGCUGAUGGACGACAUCGUGGAGGAGAUCCUCCUCCGCAUCCCGCCCGCCGACCCCGCGAGUCUCGUGCGCGCCGCCGCCUCGUGCAAGCAAUGGUGGCGCCUCGUCUCCGGGCCCGGCUUCCGCCGCCGGUGGUUUCGCGGGAUCCACCGUGCGCCGCUCAUGCUGGGCGCCGUCCGCAGCAUCCUCUACAACGGCCGCACCAACGUCAGCUUCGUCCCCGCCUUCCCCUUCCUCCAGCCCCGCGCCGGCCGCCGCGGCUGGCGCGCGCUCGACUCCCGCGACGGCCGCGUGCUCCUCCACCGCGAGCAGAGGUGCCUCAGAGAAAAAAACGUCCUCGCCGUCUGGAACCCCGUCACGGACGAGCAGCGGGAACUGCCCGCCCUUCCGGGCUUCAGCGGAAUUUGCGCAGCGGUCCUCUGUGACGCCUCCGCCGCCGGCGACAACCUCGCCUGCAGCUCUGGGCCCUUCCUUGUCGCCUUCAUAGGUUCCGGCCAUGAGGGCACAUGCAUCCGCGUCUACUCAUCGGAAUCCGAUGCGUGGGGUGAGCCGGCCUCUGCUUGGUACCCUGGUUACCUUAACAAGGAAGUGCGCGGCGUCUGUGUGGGGAACGCAGUCUACUUCGCGCUCCGGGCCAUCACAAGAAUCCUCGAGUACGACCUCGGAACAGGGGGAGUGACUGUGAUUGACCCGCCACCAAUGUCAAGCGAUCUCGUUGCGCUGAUGACCGCAGAGGGCGGUGGUCUUGGAUGCGCCACAGAGAAAGGGUGCAGACUCCAGAUGUGGUCGAGGGAGGUUGGUUCAGAUGGACUGAUGGGAUGGUCGCAAUGGAAAGCCUUCAGGCUCAGGACGAUGAAACCUGUUGGUUGUGACAUUUUGACACUUCAUGUGGUUGGCUUUGAAGACGGCGGCGGCAUCAUCUAUGUGGGGACAGAUCAGGGGUCCUUCACUACUGAUUUGAAGUCCGGCAGGUACCUGAGAAAAGUGGAAGGGGUCGGUGGCAGUGAGGACAUUCUUCCGUACAUGACCUGCUAUGAUCCAGAUGGCAAUCCAUCAGCCCAUACCUCAGGGCUGGAUCUGGAAGCAAAGUAAUUCUAUGAUGGAAGUGGCAUGGCAAUAUUUCUGCCAAGAUUAAAGUUGUUACUUGUAGUUAAUUUAAUCAUGCAUGUUACCUCAUUUGGACUGUAAUUUGACACUUGAGAAUCUUGAGCAAAACAGAAAACAAGGUCGAACAUAAGAAAAAAAAAACAAAGUUACUGCAGCAAAACAAGAAACGUAAAGGCUCUGCUGAUCUUGGACUUGGAUGCAUUGCUAUUUCCAAGAUAAUAAUACCGAGAGUGGCCUCUACAGGUGAGGGUCCAAGCUCUGCUGUUUCAAGUGCAUGAAAAAACUCAAGCUGCUAGUGAAGGUCUUCUGAUAAAUCAAGAAGGAAGUGUCUGGUUAACAUCAGAUGGAAGUUGGCUUUGUGGCAUACCCUUUAGGUUAUGUGAUUGCUACAUGUCCUCUUCUUUUUUUCUUCAGCCAGUCGCCUAGAAGUUGCUGUAAAGCUUUCUUGGGAUUAUCGGUAAGAUGGUAAACCCAGCAGUACCCUACCCCAUGUGCCCUCCAAAAUUGCAGCUCGCAAUGAGUUAGGAGCAAAUAUGGCUUCUUUGGUAAGAAAGUUGUGCUGAGGAGUAUGAUCAGACAAUAUUUGAGCAAUGAAAUCCUGAUGCACCGUGUUAAUCCAA